GACGAACGCUGGCGGCGUGCUUAAUACAUGCAAGUCGAACGCAGUGGCGAAGGGGUGAGUACUACGUGGGUAACCUGCCCUCCUCUAUGGGAUAAACCUUGGAAACGGGGUCUAAUACCGGCUAAGGGGGGCUGGGCUCGCGGCCGAUCAGCGUGUUGGUGGGGUGAUGGCCUACCAAGGCGGUGACGGGUAGCCGGCCUGAGAGGGGGACCGGCGACAUUGGGACGGAGAUACGGCCCAGAGGCCUACGCGGGGGAGAAGGGGGGGAUAUGGCACAAUGGGCGAAAGACUGAUGCAGCGACGCCGCGGGGGGUAUGAAGGCUGUCGGGUUGUAAACCUCUUUCGGUAUCGAAAGGGUAGGUGGAGAAGAAGCGCCGGCUAACUACGUGCCAGCAGCCGCGGUAAUUC
rnacentral:rRNA from 1 species